rnacentral:rRNA from 1 species
UUUAAGGUCUGACCUGCCCAAUGAUAAUUUAAAUGGCCGCGGUAAUUUGACCGUGCAAAGGUAGCAUAAUCAUUAGUUUUUUAAUUGGAAGCUGGAAUGAACGGUUGGACGAGGGAAUAACUGUCUCAGUUUAAUUUUGUAGAAUUUGAUUUUUAAGUAAAAAAGCUUAAAUUUUUUUAAAAGACGAGAAGACCCUAUAGAGUUUUAUAUAUUUAAAGUUAUUUGAUUUGAAGUAUUUUUUUUUUAAUUAUUUUAAUGAUAUUUUAUUGGGGCGAUAGAAAAAUUUAUUUAACUUUUUUUAUGUUAUUUACAUUGAUUUAUGGUUAAGUGAUCCAUAUUUUAUGAUUAUAAGAUUAAAUUACCUUAGGGAUAACAGCGUAAUUUUUUUUGAGAGUUCUUAUCGAAAAAAGAGUUUGCGACCUCGAUGUUGGAUUAAAAUUUAUUUUUGGUGCAGGGGCUAAAAUAUUAGGUCUGUUCGACCUUUGAAAUUUUACAUGAUCUGAGUUUAAACCGGCGUGAGCCAGGUUGGUUUCUAUCUUUAAAUAAUAUAGGAUAUUUUAGUACGAAAGGAUUAAAUAUUUGUAAUAAUUAUUUUAUAUUGAAUUUUAUUA